rnacentral:tRNA from 1 species
GGUCGCUUAGCUCAGCGGUAGAGCGUCUCGUUGACAUCGAGAAGGUCACUGGUUCAAAUCCAGUAGCGACCACCA